GUGACAAACUGAAGGUUCACAUCUCAGGUGAUACUGAGUUGCCCAGUGGCAUUGAGAAUUGUCUCACUCCUCCAAUUCUCAAUUUCUUCUUCUUUCAAAAUAUAGGAGUGUGGUAAUGACCAUGGUCCUACCCAAGGUUGGAAUGGCUCCCAUUCAUACAACUACAGAGACUUGACUUAAGAAGCUAAUUCCUCACAGAAACAGGAGGGGUGACAGAACUGAAGUCCCCAGAGCAUUUAUAUCACAUCUUCCUCUUUUCUCUAACAGACUUUUGAAGAAUUCCUCAAAUGUAUAAUAUUUUACCAACUGAAGAGUAGGGCAUUAGGAAAGUCCUCAUUGAAAAUGAACACAGUUGAGGAAACAAUACAAUCUUUGUCCAGCAGAAAAGAACUGAAAGGCUGCUGAUGUAUUACUCCAACACAGAGCUGAUGUCAAUGUUCAGGAUGCUGUUUUUUUUCACUGCACUGCACAUCACAGUUUACGAUGGGCAUGAGCAGUGCUUGUACGAAUGGCAAGAGCAUUGAUCUGGUUAAAUUUCUUCUUGAUAAGAUUGUGGUAAACAUCAAUCAGCAAGGAAGAGAUGGGCACACAGAAACAAAAGAUCAUGCUGAAGAGUACAGCAGAUAAAAGUACAGCAGAUGAAAGAUUUCUCAGGCUACCAAGUUGAUCUGAAAUGUUUCUACCUGAGUUUAAUGAAUAGAAGCAGGGAGCUCAUAUAAUUAUAGAGACAGAAGAAGGAAAAAUAUACAAUUCAGAAGAGGGCUAGUGAAAAAUGACAUGGGAGCUAUUUUAAUAAAGACAAGUGAACAGACAUGGCAAGUGAGAGUUAGAUAUAGGUUUGUGAUCUAUUUUUACUUUUUUGAGUAUUAAAUAAAUGCAAAUGCACACAGCUUUGCACAUAUAAUAUCUAUAUGGCUCAAUGAAGUUUUACAAACUGAACCCACCCAGUCUCCAGAUGAUAAAAAUGGACAGGACAAGAACUCUAGAAGCC
rnacentral:lncRNA from 1 species